rnacentral:misc_RNA from 1 species
GAUGAAGAACGUAGCGAAAUGCGAUAAGUAAUGUGAAUUGCAGAAUUCAGUGAAUCAUCGAAUCUUUGAACGCACAUUGCGCCCGCCAGCAUUCUGGCGGGCAUGCCUGUUCGAGCGUCAUUUCAACCCUCGCAGCCCAUCUGGGCAGCGGUGUUGGGGACCGGCACCACCGGCGAAGCCCUUAGGGGCCCAGCCGGCGCCGCCCCCGAAAUACAGUGGCGGUCUCGCUGCAGCCUCCCUUGCGUAGUAGCACACCUCGCACCGGAGCGCAGCGCGGCCACGCCGUAAAACCCCCGACUUUCUGAGUUUGACCUCGAAUCAGGUAGGAAUACCCGCUGAACUUAAGCAUAUCAAUGGAGGA